rnacentral:rRNA from 1 species
CGGGGUAGGAGUAAUGUCUGGAAACGUAGCCUGAUGAGGGGGGGUAACUACUGGAAACGGUAGCUAAUACCGCAUAACGUCGCAAGACCAAAGAGGGGGACCUUCGGGCCUCUUGCCAUCGGAUGUGCCCAGAUGGGAUUAGCUAGUAGGUGGGGUAACGGCUCACCUAGGCGACGAUCCCUAGCUGGUCUGAGAGGAUGGCCAGCCACACUGGAACUGAGACACGGUCCAG